rnacentral:rRNA from 1 species
GAUGAGUAGGGCGGGACACGUGGUAUCCUGUCUGAAUAUGGGGGGCCCAUCCUCCAAGGCUAAAUACUCCUGACUGACCGAUAGUGAACCAGUACCGUGAGGGAAAGGCGAAAAGAACCCCGGCGAGGGGAGUGAAAAAGAACCUGAAACCGUGUACGUACAAGCAGUGGGAGCACGCUUAGGCGUGUGACUGCGUACCUUUUGUAUAAUGGGUCAGCGACUUAUAUUCUGUAGCAAGGUUAACCGAAUAGGGGAGCCGAAGGGAAACCGAGUCUUAACUGGGCGUUAAGUUGCAGGGUAUAGACCCGAAACCCGGUGAUCUAGCCAUGGGCAGGUUGAAGGUUGGGUAACACUAACUGGAGGACCGAACCGACUAAUGUUGAAAAAUUAGCGGAUGACUUGUGGCUGGGGGUGAAAGGCCAAUCAAACCGGGAGAUAGCUGGUUCUCCCCGAAAGCUAUUUAGGUAGCGCCUCGUGAAUUCAUCUCCGGGGGUAGAGCACUGUUUCGGCAAGGGGGUCAUCCCGACUUACCAACCCGAUGCAAACUGCGAAUACCGGAGAAUGUUAUCACGGGAGACACACGGCGGGUGCUAACGUCCGUCGUGAAGAGGGAAACAACCCAGACCGCCAGCUAAGGUCCCAAAGUCAUGGUUAAGUGGGAAACGAUGUGGGAAGGCCCAGACAGCCAGGAUGUUGGCUUAGAAGCAGCCAUCAUUUAAAGAAAGCGUAAUAGCUCACUGGUCGAGUCGGCCUGCGCGGAAGAUGUAACGGGGCUAAACCAUGCACCGAAGCUGCGGCAGCGACGCUUAUGCGUUGUUGGGUAGGGGAGCGUUCUGUAAGCCUGCGAAGGUGUGCUGUGAGGCAUGCUGGAGGUAUCAGAAGUGCGAAUGCUGACAUAAGUAACGAUAAAGCGGGUGAAAAGCCCGCUCGCCGGAAGACCAAGGGUUCCUGUCCAACGUUAAUCGGGGCAGGGUGAGUCGACCCCUAAGGCGAGGCCGAAAGGCGUAGUCGAUGGGAAACAGGUUAAUAUUCCUGUACUUGGUGUUACUGCGAAGGGGGGACGGAGAAGGCUAUGUUGGCCGGGCGACGGUUGUCCCGGUUUAAGCGUGUAGGCUGGUUUUCCAGGCAAAUCCGGAAAAUCAAGGCUGAGGCGUGAUGACGAGGCACUACGGUGCUGAAGCAACAAAUGCCCUGCUUCCAGGAAAAGCCUCUAAGCAUCAGGUAACAUCAAAUCGUACCCCAAACCGACACAGGUGGUCAGGUAGAGAAUACCAAGGCGCUUGAGAGAACUCGGGUGAAGGAACUAGGCAAAAUGGUGCCGUAACUUCGGGAGAAGGCACGCUGAUAUGUAGGUGAAGUCCCUUGCGGAUGGAGCUGAAAUCAGUCGAAGAUACCAGCUGGCUGCAACUGUUUAUUAAAAACACAGCACUGUGCAAACACGAAAGUGGACGUAUACGGUGUGACGCCUGCCCGGUGCCGGAAGGUUAAUUGAUGGGGUCAGCGCAAGCGAAGCUCUUGAUCGAAGCCCCGGUAAACGGCGGCCGUAACUAUAACGGUCCUAAGGUAGCGAAAUUCCUUGUCGGGUAAGUUCCGACCUGCACGAAUGGCGUAAUGAUGGCCAGGCUGUCUCCACCCGAGACUCAGUGAAAUUGAACUCGCUGUGAAGAUGCAGUGUACCCGCGGCAAGACGGAAAGACCCCGUGAACCUUUACUAUAGCUUGACACUGAACAUUGAGCCUUGAUGUGUAGGAUAGGUGGGAGGCUUUGAAGUGUGGACGCCAGUCUGCAUGGAGCCGGCCUUGAAAUACCACCCUUUAAUGUUUGAUGUUCUAACGUGGACCCGUGAUCCGGGUUGCGGACAGUGUCUGGUGGGUAGUUUGACUGGGGCGGUCUCCUCCUAAAGAGUAACGGAGGAGCACGAAGGUUGGCUAAUCCUGGUCGGACAUCAGGAGGUUAGUGCAAUGGCAUAAGCCAGCUUGACUGCGAGCGUGACGGCGCGAGCAGGUGCGAAAGCAGGUCAUAGUGAUCCGGUGGUUCUGAAUGGAAGGGCCAUCGCUCAACGGAUAAAAGGUACUCCGGGGAUAACAGGCUGAUACCGCCCAAGAGUUCAUAUCGACGGCGGUGUUUGGCACCUCGAUGUCGGCUCAUCACAUCCUGGGGCUGAAGUAGGUCCCAAGGGUAUGGCUGUUCGCCAUUUAAAGUGGUACGCGAGCUGGGUUUAGAACGUCGUGAGACAGUUCGGUCCCUAUCUGCCGUGGGCGCUGGAGAACUGAGGGGGGCUGCUCCUAGUACGAGAGGACCGGAGUGGACGCAUCACUGGUGUUCGGGUUGUCAUGCCAAUGGCACUGCCCGGUAGCUAAAUGCGGAAGAGAUAAGUGCUGAAAGCAUCUAAGCACGAAACUUGCCCCGAGAUGAGUUCUCCCUGACCCUUUAAGGGUCCUGAAGGAACGUUGAAGACGACGACGUUGAUAGGCCGGGUGUGUAAGCGCAGCGAUGCGUUGAGCUAACCGGUACUAAUGAACCGUGAGGCUUAACCUUACAACGCCGAAG